GAUGAACGCUGGCGGCGUGCCUAACACAUGCAAGUCGAACGAAGCACUGAGAGUUUGAGAUUUCGGUCAAGAACACUCUUUGACUUAGUGGCGGACGGUGAGUAAUGCGUGAGCAACCUGCCUUUCAGAGGGGGACAACAGUUGGAAACGGCUGCUAAUACCGCAUGAUAUAUUCGGAUCGCAUGGUCUGGAUAUCAAAGAUUUAUCGCUGAAAGAUGGGCUCACGUCUGAUUAGUUAGUUGGUGAGGUAACGGCUCACCAAGACUGCGAUCAGUAGCCGGGACUGAGAGGUUGAACGGCCACAUUGGGACUGAGAUACGGCCCAGACUCCUACGGGAGGCAGUAGUGGGGAAUAUUGGCAAUGGGGAACCUGAUGCAGCGACGCCGCGUGAGCGAAGAAGUAUUUCGGUAUGUAAAGCUCUAUCAGCAGGGAAGAAGAAAUGACGGUACCUGA
rnacentral:rRNA from 1 species